UACGUAGGGGGCAAGCGUUGUCCGGAAUCAUUGGGCGUAAAGAGCGUGUAGGCGGCCCGAUAAGUCCGCUGUGAAAGUCCAGGGCUCAACCCUGGAAUGCCGGUGGAUACUGUCGGGCUCGAAUCCGGAAGAGGUGAGUGGAAUUCCUGGUGUAGCGGUGAAAUGCGCAGAUAUCAGGAGGAACACCAAUGGCGAAGGCAGCUCACUGGGACGGUAUUGACGCUGAGACGCGAAAGCGUGGGGAGCAAACAGGAUUAGAUACCCCGUGG
rnacentral:rRNA from 1 species